AUACGUAGGGUGCGAGCGUUGUCCGGAAUUACUGGGUGUAAAGAGCUCGUAGGUGGUUUGUCGCGUCGUCUGUGAAAUUCCGGGGCUUAACUCCGGGCGUGCAGGCGAUACGGGCAUAACUUGAUUACUGUAGGGGAGACUGGAAUUCCUGGUGUAGCGGUGAAAUGCGCAGAUAUCAGGAGGAACACCGGUGGCGAAGGCGGGUCGCGGGGCUGGAACUGACGUAUAGGAGGUAAAGCAUGAAGAGCGGGGAGGAUUAGAGAACCUGAUCGCCCGUGCCGCAACCGGGGAUCCGAAGGUGUAGGGCUGUUCCGCGCAUGCUGAGCGGCAGAGCGAGCAUUAAGCGCACCGCCUGGGGAGUACGGCCGCACGGCCAAAACUCAAAGGAGUUGACGGGG
rnacentral:rRNA from 1 species